rnacentral:pre_miRNA from 1 species
GUUUUACUCCCUCCGUUCGGAAUUACUUGUCGUAGAAAUGGAUGUAUCUAGAUGUAUUUUAGUUCUAGAUACAUCCAUAUCCAAGACAAGUAAUUCCGAACGGAGGGAGUAAUUC